CUGAAAUCCACAGACAUACUACACUUCCAAUCAGCCUUGCUGUGUUUUGAAAAGAAAGCUGAAAAGACGUGUGCACUACUGCCAACUGUUGCCAUGACCUCUUCUAGAUUUAAUGAAUGCUUUCCAACUUCAUAAGCAAAGCACUUCAAAAUACAAACAGUUCUGCUUGAUGACAGUACUGUGAAGAAAUUCAAGAUGGCAGCUGGAAACAGAAAUCUUCAUGUCAGGUAGUCUCUAACAAAUUUGUGUUAGUUUUCUGUUUUUCACUGGUUAUCUUUGAUGUAAAUUGUUUAGACUGAAGGUAUCAGUUACUUUUUGUGUAUGGAAACAGAAUCUAGAAACACAGAGUAGGUCUUGCCAGGAAGGUUCAAUUUUAAAAAAC
rnacentral:lncRNA from 1 species